UGUAUACUCCCUCCGUCCCAAAAUUCUUCUCUUAGAUUUGUCUAGAUACGAAUGUAUCUAAUACUAAAACGUGACUUGAUACAUCCGUAUUUAGACAAAUCUAAGACAAGAAUUUUGGGACGGAGGGAGUACAUA
rnacentral:pre_miRNA from 1 species